GACGACGUGCCGAGUCGUUCACACUACUUCUAGUUUCUUUUCAAGCUGGUGGCAUUACAGGGUAUACUUCAGUAUGUGAUGCUAUAUUGAUAUGUGUGUGUGUGUGUGUGUGUGUGA